ACUUGAUUCGAGACUAUAAAAAGGAACGCAAAGAUAAGUUUGCACUCAUUUCCAGUGUGGUGACAACAGUUGAUUCAUUGCGCACUGAGAAAAGUUAUUGACAUUGUGGCAAGAAAAAUGAAGACUGGAAUUUUUCUCGCAUUUUUACUUUUAGGAGUGGCAUUCACAUUUGGUAUUAAUUCGUAACAUGAUUGUUCAUUAACUUUACAGUAGAUGUUCACUGUUUUAAUAUUUUUAUGAUACUUUUAGCUCUUACUGAGGAAGAUCAGCUUCAAAAUGCAAAUGCUCCGGAAAGCGAUGAAGACUUACAAAAGACGUUGAGAGUGCUGAUGAUGAAGAUCAUGACAUAGAAGAAGACGAAGAAGAUGAUGAAGAUGACGAAGAAGAUGAUGAAGAAAAUGAUCCAAAGUCAUUGAUAUUCCGUCGUCGAUGCCGAAGAUGCCAAAGAAAAAUAAUUUACCGUUACCUCAGAAGACCGUACGCACCAUACAAGUCGUAUCUUUACAAACUAAGAAGAGUCAUUUACCGUAAAAGACCUUACUAUAGAAGAUACAAGUUGUACUGUCGUCGUUCUUGUUACUGCAAACGUCGCUGUUUGUACAAAAAAUGUUAUGGUGGUUACACCUGCAAGAGAUGGAGGUGCUCGCGUCGUUAUUCUAGAAAAUGCUAUUGGUGAUUAUCAAGACUAAGGAAACUGGAUUUAUUAAGAAACCUGUAGACAUACAUUAAAUGUAUUUGUAGAACAGCAGAAAUAAAUAGUUAAAAUUGCA